rnacentral:rRNA from 1 species
AACGAACGCUGGCGGCAGGCUUAACACAUGCAAGUCGAGCGCCCCGCAAGGGGAGCGGCAGACGGGUGAGUAACGCGUGGGAAUCUACCCAUCUCUACGGAAUAACGCAUGGAAACGUGUGCUAAUACCGUAUACGUCCUUCGGGAGAAAGAUUUAUCGGAGAUGGAUGAGCCCGCGUUGGAUUAGCUAGUUGGUGGGGCAAAGGCCUACCAAGGCGACGAUCCAUAGCUGGCCUGAGAGGAUGAUCAGCCACACUGGGACUGAGACACGGCCCAGACUCCUACGGGAGGCAGCAGUGGGGAAUAUUGGACAAUGGGCGCAAGCCUGAUCCAGCCAUGCCGCGUGAGUGAUGAAGGCCCUAGGGUUGUAAAGCUCUUUCACCGGUGAAGAUAAUGACGGUAACCGGAGAAGAAGCCCCGGCUAACUUCGUGCCAGCCGCCGCCGUAAAAC